ensembl:lncRNA
CAGCAGAGCCAGAAACUUCCCAUCAGCGUUCUCCCCAUCAUGUUGUCUGUCAGUGAGAUGCCACUUACUUCAUUCCUUCCUCAGCAUCUGGAGGCUACAUAUACCAUGAAGGCUGAGACAGGACUCUGGACUGAAAUUCUGUGUUUAGCACCUGCCAGCCGUGUGAGUGGGGACAUCCACUGAGGCCCUCCAGUGUGCAUGGCAUUAUGAAUUCCACAGUGGACAUGGUCCAUCUCCUGCUCUGGAGGAUCUAGCCCCAGCUGGGAAAACCUGGGAAGGCUCCCUGGAGGAAGGGGCACCCAAGAUGAAUUUUGAAAGGGCAGCCGCAAAGCCUGGUUUGAGAGGAUGUUGCCUUGCUGCCC